rnacentral:rRNA from 1 species
ACGAACGCUGGCGGCAUGCCUAACACAUGCAAGUCGCACGAGACCUUCGGGUCUAGUGGCGCACGGGUGCGUAACGCGUGGGAACCUGCCCUUAGGUUCGGAAUAACUCCCCGAAAGGGGUGCUAAUACCGGAUAAUGUCUUCGGACCAAAGAUUUAUCGCCUUUGGAUGGGCCCGCGUUGGAUUAGCUAGUUGGUAGGGUAAAAGCCUACCAAGGCGACGAUCCGUAGCUGGUCUGAGAGGAUGAUCAGCCACACUGGGACUGAGACACGGCCCAGACUCCUACGGGAGGCAGCAGUGGGGAAUAUUGGACAAUGGGCGAAAGCCUGAUCCAGCAAUGCCGCGUGAGUGAUGAGGGCCUUAGGGUUGUAAAGCUCUUUUACCCGGGAUGAUAAUGACAGUACCGGGAGAAUAAGCUCCGGCUAACUCCGUG